rnacentral:piRNA from 1 species
UCGGCAGUGUGAUCGGUGCUUACCUG